rnacentral:rRNA from 1 species
GGGGGAAUCUUGCACAAUGGGGGAAACCCUGACGCAGCGACGCCGCGUGAGCGAUGAAGCCCUUCGGGGUGUAAAGCUCUUUCGGCAGGGAAGAUGAUGACGGUACCUGCAGAAGCAGCUGCGGCUAACUACGUGCCAGCAGCCGCGGUAAUACGUAGGCAGCGAGCGUUGUUCGGAGUUACUGGGCGUAAAGGGUGUGUAGGCGGUUGUUUAAGUUUGGUGUGAAAUCUCCCGGCUCAACUGGGAGGGUGCGCCGAAUACUGAAUGACUCGAGUGUGGGAGAGGUGAGUGGAAUUCCUGGUGUAGCGGUGAAAUGCGUAGAUAUCAGGAGGAACACCGGUGGUGUAGGCGGCUCACUGGACCAUAACUGACGCUGAGACACGAAAGCGUGGGUAGCAAACAGGAUUAGAUACCC